UCUAGCGAGCCCACCUCCCACCCGUGUUUACUGUACCUUAGUUGCUUCGGCGGGCCCGCCAUUCAUGGCCGCCGGGGGCUCUCAGCCCCGGGCCCGCGCCCGCCGGAGACACCACGAACUCUGUCUGAUCUAGUGAAGUCUGAGUUGAUUGUAUCGCAAUCAGUUAAAACUUUCAACAAUGGAUCUCUUGGUUCCGGCAUCGAUGAAGAACGCAGCGAAAUGCGAUAACUAGUGUGAAUUGCAGAAUUCCGUGAAUCAUCGAGUCUUUGAACGCACAUUGCGCCCCCUGGUAUUCCGGGGGGCAUGCCUGUCCGAGCGUCAUUGCUGCCCAUCAAGCACGGCUUGUGUGUUGGGUCGUCGUCCCCUCUCCGGGGGGGACGGGCCCCAAAGGCAGCGGCGGCACCGCGUCCGAUCCUCGAGCGUAUGGGGCUUUGUCACCCGCUCUGUAGGCCCGGCCGGCGCUUGCCGAACGCAAAUCAAUCUUUUUCCAGGUUGACCUCGGAUCAGGUAGGGAUACCCGCUGAACUUAAGCAUAUCAAUAAGCGGAGGAA
rnacentral:rRNA from 1 species